AAUAAACUUUUUAUGAUUUAUAUAAUUUAAUUUAAAUUUAUUUUACAUGUAAAUUUUAGUAUUAAUUUUUAAUUAUUUUAAUAAUAAUUAUUAAAAAUUACAGUAAUUAAAAUUAAAAAUUUAAGAAAUUAAGAUUUAGUAAUAUUUAAUUUAUUAACAAAUUUUGUGCCAGCAGUUGCGGUUAUACAAAAAAUAAUUUAAAUUUUAUCAGUAUAUAAUAAAUAAAAAUUAAUUAUUUAAAUUAAAUAUUAAAUUAUUAGGUGAAAUUUUAAUUUAAUUAAAAUUUAUGUUAAUUUUAUGAUUUAUUAAAUUUUAAAAAAAAACUAGGAUUAGAUACCCUAUUAUUAAAAAUUAAAUUUAUAAUACUAAAAUAAUAGGUAAUAAUUUAUUGAAACUUAAAUAAUUUGGCGGUAUUUUAGUUCAUUUAGAGGAAUCUGUUUAAUAAUUGAUAAUCCACGAAUAAAUUUACUUAAUUUAUUAUUUUGUAUAUCGUUGUUAAAAAAAUAUUUUUUAAUAAAAAUAAUAUUUUAAAAUUUUAAUAAAAAAUUAAUUCAGAUCAAGAUGCAGAUUAUAAUUAAGAAUAUAAUGGAUUACAAUAAAUAAAUUUAAAUGAAUAAUAUUUUUUAAAAAAUAUUUGAAGGUGGAUUUAAAUGUAAUUUUAAUUAAUUUAUUAAAAUGAUUAUAUAUUAAAAUAUGUACAUAUUGCCCGUCACUUUCAUUAAUAAAUUGGAAUAAGUCGUAACAAAGUAGAGGUACUGGAAAGUGUUUCUAGAAAGAA
rnacentral:ncRNA from 1 species